GACGAACGCUGGCGGCGUGCUUAACACAUGCAAGUCGAACGAAGAGCGAUGGAAGCUUGCUUCUAUCAAUCUUAGUGGCGCACGGGUGAGUAACGCGUAAUCAACCUGCCCUUCAGAGGGGGACAACAGUUGGAAACGACUGCUAAUACCGCAUACGAUCUAACCUCGGCAUCGAGGAAAGAUGAAAGGUGGCCUCUAUGUAUAAGCUAUCACUGAAGGAGGGGAUUGCGUCUGAUUAGCUAGUUGGAGGGGUAACGGCCCACCAAGGCGAUGAUCAGUAGCCGGUCUGAGAGGAUGAACGGCCACAUUGGGACUGAGACACGGCCCAGACUCCUACGGGAGGCAGCAGUGGGGAAUCUUCCGCAAUGGACGAAAGUCUGACGGAGCAACGCCGCGUGAGUGAUGACGGCCUUCGGGUUGUAAAGCUCUGUUAAUCGGGACGAAAGGCCUUCUUGCGAAUAGUGAGAAGGAUUGACGGUACCGGAAUAGAAAGCCACGGCUAACUACGUG
rnacentral:rRNA from 1 species